CAGACAGAGCGAGGGCGGGAAGAAGCCAAAGUGAGUCAUCCAGAUGGACACAAAUAGCGACAACGCUGACAGAAUACAAUUAAAAAUACAGAAAGUAGUGGCAGAAGUGACGGCGUGAAAGAUGGCGGAGUGAUUGGGGUGAGAGACGAUGGGGAACAAAGAGCGUGUUGUCAGUGCUGACCGGGCGCUAAAUGUCUGCGCUUAGGCUGCCAGAGACAACAGCUUCGGUGGCGCUGCUCGAUGAGUGGGUUCAAAGCAACGACACGGGGCUGUGGACAGAAGCAUCACCUGUUGGAAGACUGGAGGAGCUGCAACAGGAAUGAGAGAAAAAGGUGGAAGAAGGAAAUUACAGUUUCAAACUAAAUUUCUCAGAAAAAUAAGGAUGAUUGGAAAGGAC